rnacentral:tRNA from 1 species
GAGUCCUUAGCUCAGUGGUAGAGCGGGCGACCUUAAAUCGCCAUGGACGUGGGACCGUACCCCACAGGACUCA